GGGCCUGUAGUUCAGUCGAAGAACGCUGCCCUUGCAAGGCAGAGGUCCUGGGUUCAAAUCCCAGCGGGUCCA
rnacentral:tRNA from 1 species